rnacentral:rRNA from 1 species
AGUAGGUGGGGUAACGGCUCACCUAGGCGACGAUCCCUAGCUGGUCUGAGAGGAUAACCAGCCACACUGGAACUGAGACACGGUCCAGACUCCUACGGGAGGCAGCAGUAGGGAAUAUUGCACAAUGGGCGCAAGCCUGAUGCAGCCAUGCCGCGUGUAUGAAGAAGGCCUUCGGGUUGUAAAGUACUUUCAGCGGGGAGGAAGGGAGUAAAGUUAAUACCUUUGCUCAUUGACGUUACCCGCAGAAGAAGCACCGGCUAACUCCGUGCCAGCAGCCGCGGUAAUACGGAGGGUGCAAGCGUUAAUCGGAAUUACUGGGCGUAAAGCGCACGCAGGCGGUUUGUUAAGUCAGAUGUGAAAUCCCCGGGCUCAACCUGGGAACUGCAUCUGAUACUGGCAAGCUUGAGUCUCGUAGAGGGGGGUAGAAUUCCAGGUGUAGCGGUGAAAUGCGUAGAGAUCUGGAGGAAUACCGGUGGCGAAGGCGGCCCCCUGGACGAAGACUGACGCUCAGGUGCGAAAGCGUGGGGAGCAAACAGGAUUAGAUACCCUGGUAGUCCACGCCGUAAACGAUGUCGACUUGGAGGUUGUGCCCUUGAGGCGUGGCUUCCGGAGCUAACGCGUUAAGUCGACCGCCUGGGGAGUACGGCCGCAAGGUUAAAACUCAAAUGAAUUGACGGGGGCCCGCACAAGCGGUGGAGCAUGUGGUUUAAUUCGAUGCAACGCGAAGAACCUUACCUGGUCUUGACAUCCACGGAAGUUUUCAGAGAUGAGAAUGUGCCUUCGGGAACCGUGAGACAGGUGCUGCAUGGCUGUCGUCAGCUCGUGUUGUGAAAUGUUGGGUUAAGUCCCGCAACGAGCGCAACCCUUAUCCUUUGUUGCCAGCGGUCCGGCCGGGAACUCAAAGGAGACUGCCAGUGAUAAACUGGAGGAAGGUGGGGAUGACGUCAA